GUUAUAUGGUCAAGCGAAUAAGCGCACACGGUGGAUGCCUUGGCGGUCAGAGGCGAUGAAGGACGUGGCAGCCUGCGAAAAGUAUCGGGGAGCUGGCAACAAGCUUUGAUCCGGUAAUGUCCGAAUGGGGAAACCCACCCGCUUGCGGGUAUCCUGCAGUGAAUACAUAGCUGCUGGAAGCGAACCUGGUGAACUGAAAUAUCUAAGUAACCAGAGGAAAAGAAAUCAACCGAGAUUCCCUGAGUAGCGACGAGCGAACGGGGACUAGCCCUUAAGCUGGAAUGGUUCUAGAAAAACAGCCUGGAACGGCUGGCCAUAGAAGGUGAUAGCCCUGUAUUUAAAAGGGCCACUCCAGUGAAGACGAGUAGGGCGGGGCACGUGAAACCCUGUCUGAACAUGGGGGGACCAUCCUCCAAGGCUAAAUACUACUGACCGACCGAUAGUGAACCAGUACCGUGAGGGAAAGGCGAAAAGAACCCCGGAGAGGGGAGUGAAAUAGAUCCUGAAACCGUGUGCGUACAAGCAGUAGGAGCUCGAAAGAGUGACUGCGUACCUUUUGUAUAAUGGGUCAGCGACUUACUGUUCGUGGCAAGCUUAACCGUAUAGGGGAGGCGAAGGGAAACCGAGUCUGAUAAGGGCGCAUAGUCGCGGGCAGUAGACCCGAAACCGGGUGAUCUAGUCAUGGCCAGGGUGAAGGUGCCGUAACAGGUACUGGAGGCCCGAACCCACGUCUGUUGCAAAAGACGGGGAUGAGCUGUGAUUAGGAGUGAAAAGCUAAUCGAACCCGGAGAUAGCUGGUUCUCCUCGAAAGCUAUUUAGGUAGCGCCUCAUAUGUAUCCUCUCGGGGGUAGAGCACUGUUAUGGCUAGGGGGUCAUCGCGACUUACCAAACCAUUGCAAACUCCGAAUACCGAGACGGACUGUAUGGGAGACACACGGCGGGUGCUAACGUCCGUCGUGAAAAGGGAAACAACCCAGACCCACAGCUAAGGUCCCAAAUUCACUGCUAAGUGGAAAACCAUGUGGAAAGGCACAGACAGCCAGGAGGUUGGCUUAGAAGCAGCCACCCUUUAAAGAAAGCGUAAUAGCUCACUGGUCGAGUCGGUCUGCGGGGAAGAUUUAACGGGGCUAAGCAGUGAACCGAAGCUUGGGGUGUGCAUAUUUAUAUGUACGCGGUAGAGGAGCGUUCCGUAAGCCGUUGAAGGUGGAUUGAGAAGUCUGCUGGAGGUAUCGGAAGUGCGAAUGCUGACAUGAGUAACGAUAAUGCGGGUGAAAAACCCGCACGCCGAAAGCCCAAGGUUUCCUUGCGCAACGUUAAUCGGCGCAGGGUGAGUCGGCCCCUAAGGCGAGGACGAAAGUCGUAGUCGAUGGGAAGCAGGUUAAUAUUCCUGCACCUCGCGUAAGUGCGAUGGAGGGACGGAGAAGGUUAGGUGUACCCGGCGUUGGUUGUCCGGGGGAAAGGCGGUAGGUUUGGAUCUUUGGCAAAUCCGGGAUCCUUUAAGACCGAGCACCGAGACGAGCCUUUAAGGCGAAGUCACUGAUACCACGCUUCCAGGAAAAGCUCCUAAGCUUCAGCUUACGCAGACCGUACCGUAAACCGACACAGGUGGGUAGGAUGAGAAUUCUCAGGCGCUUGAGAGAACUCGGGUGAAGGAACUAGGCAACAUGGCACCGUAACUUCGGGAGAAGGUGCGCCCUUUUUGGUGGCUCAUGCGAGCUAUAGCUGAAGAGGGCCGCAGUAACCAGGCCGCUGCGACUGUUUAUCAAAAACACAGCACUCUGCAAACACGAAAGUGGACGUAUAGGGUGUGACGCCUGCCCGGUGCUGGAAGGUUAAUUGAUGGGGUCAGCCGCAAGGCGAAGCUCUUGAUCGAAGCCCCAGUAAACGGCGGCCGUAACUAUAACGGUCCUAAGGUAGCGAAAUUCCUUGUCGGGUAAGUUCCGACCUGCACGAAUGGCGUAACGACAGCGGCGCUGUCUCCACCCGAGACUCAGUGAAAUUGAAAUCGCUGUGAAGAUGCAGCGUUCCCGUGGCAAGACGGAAAGACCCCGUGAACCUUUACUAUAGCUUUACACUGAACGUUGAGUUCGUCUGUGUAGGAUAGGUGGGAGGCUAUGAAACCAUGGCGCUAGCUGUGGUGGAGCCAUCCUUGAAAUACCACCCUGUCGUGCUUGACGUUCUAACCUAGGUCCAUAAUCUGGAUCGGGGACCGUGUAUGGUGGGUAGUUUGACUGGGGCGGUCUCCUCCUAAAGAGUAACGGAGGAGCUCGAAGGUACGCUCAGCGCGGUCGGACAUCGCGCACUGUGUGCAAAGGCAUAAGCGUGCUUGACUGCAAGAUCGACGGAUCAAGCAGGUAGGAAACUAGGACUUAGUGAUCCGGUGGUUCUGUAUGGAAGGGCCAUCGCUCAACGGAUAAAAGGUACUCCGGGGAUAACAGGCUGAUACCGCCCAAGAGUUCAUAUCGACGGCGGUGUUUGGCACCUCGAUGUCGGCUCAUCACAUCCUGGGGCUGUAGUCGGUCCCAAGGGUAUGGCUGUUCGCCAUUUAAAGUGGUACGCGAGCUGGGUUCAGAACGUCGUGAGACAGUUCGGUCCCUAUCUGCCAUGGGCGUUGGAGAUUUGAGAGGGGCUGCUCCUAGUACGAGAGGACCGGAGUGGACGAACCUCUGGUGUUCCGGUUGUCACGCCAGUGGCAUUGCCGGGUAGCUAUGUUCGGAAGCGAUAACCGCUGAAAGCAUCUAAGCGGGAAGCGCGCCUCAAGAUGAGAUCUCCCGGGGCACAAGCCCCCUGAAGGAACCAUAUAGACUAUGUGGUUGAUAGGUCAGGUGUGUAAGUACAGCAAUGUAUUGAGCUAACUGAUACUAAUGAUCCGUGUGGCUUGACCAUAUAACCU
rnacentral:rRNA from 2 species